GGAUUAGAUACCCUGGUAGUCCACGCCGUAAACGAUGGGCACUAGAUGUUGGUUUUAUCUUAACGGGUAGAAUCGGUGUCGCAGCUAACGUAUUAAGUGCCCCGCCUGGGGAGUACGAUCGCAAGGUUGAAACUCAAAGGAAUUGACGGGGGCCCGCACAAGCGGUGGAGCAUGUGGUUUAAUUCGAUGCAACGCGCAGAACCUUACCGGGGCUUGAACUGCUAGCUAAAUCCUGUGAAAGCAGGUUUGUUCUUCGGAACGAGCUAGUAGAGGUGCUGCAUGGCUGUCGUCAGCUCGUGUUG
rnacentral:rRNA from 1 species